AGAGUUUGAUCCUGGCUCAGGAUGAACGCUGGCGGCGUGCCUAAUACAUGCAAGUCGAGCGAACGGACGAGAAGCUUGCUUCUCUGAUGUUAGCGGCGGACGGGUGAGUAACACGUGGAUAACCUACCUAUAAGACUGGGAUAACUUCGGGAAACCGGAGCUAAUACCGGAUAAUAUUUUGAACCGCAUGGUUCAAAAGUGAAAGACGGUCUUGCUGUCACUUAUAGAUGGAUCCGCGCUGCAUUAGCUAGUUGGUAAGGUAACGGCUUACCAAGGCAACGAUGCAUAGCCGACCUGAGAGGGUGAUCGGCCACACUGGAACUGAGACACGGUCCAGACUCCUACGGGAGGCAGCAGUAGGGAAUCUUCCGCAAUGGGCGAAAGCCUGACGGAGCAACGCCGCGUGAGUGAUGAAGGUCUUCGGAUCGUAAAACUCUGUUAUUAGGGAAGAACAUAUGUGUAAGUAACUGUGCACAUCUUGACGGUACCUAAUCAGAAAGCCACGGCUAACUACGUGCCAGCAGCCGCGGUAAUACGUAGGUGGCAAGCGUUAUCCGGAAUUAUUGGGCGUAAAGCGCGCGUAGGCGGUUUUUUAAGUCUGAUGUGAAAGCCCACGGCUCAACCGUGGAGGGUCAUUGGAAACUGGAAAACUUGAGUGCAGAAGAGGAAAGUGGAAUUCCAUGUGUAGCGGUGAAAUGCGCAGAGAUAUGGAGGAACACCAGUGGCGAAGGCGACUUUCUGGUCUGUAACUGACGCUGAUGUGCGAAAGCGUGGGGAUCAAACAGGAUUAGAUACCCUGGUAGUCCACGCCGUAAACGAUGAGUGCUAAGUGUUAGGGGGUUUCCGCCCCUUAGUGCUGCAGCUAACGCAUUAAGCACUCCGCCUGGGGAGUACGACCGCAAGGUUGAAACUCAAAGGAAUUGACGGGGACCCGCACAAGCGGUGGAGCAUGUGGUUUAAUUCGAAGCAACGCGAAGAACCUUACCAAAUCUUGACAUCCUUUGACAACUCUAGAGAUAGAGCUUUCCCCUUCGGGGGACAAAGUGACAGGUGGUGCAUGGUUGUCGUCAGCUCGUGUCGUGAGAUGUUGGGUUAAGUCCCGCAACGAGCGCAACCCUUAAGCUUAGUUGCCAUCAUUAAGUUGGGCACUCUAAGUUGACUGCCGGUGACAAACCGGAGGAAGGUGGGGAUGACGUCAAAUCAUCAUGCCCCUUAUGAUUUGGGCUACACACGUGCUACAAUGGACAAUACAAAGGGCAGCGAAACCGCGAGGUCAAGCAAAUCCCAUAAAGUUGUUCUCAGUUCGGAUUGUAGUCUGCAACUCGACUACAUGAAGCUGGAAUCGCUAGUAAUCGUAGAUCAGCAUGCUACGGUGAAUACGUUCCCGGGUCUUGUACACACCGCCCGUCACACCACGAGAGUUUGUAACACCCGAAGCCGGUGGAGUAACCUUUUAGGAGCUAGCCGUCGAAGGUGGGACAAAGUGAUUGGGGUGAAGUCGUAACAAGGUAGCCGUAUCGGAAGGUGCGGCUGGAUCACCUCCUUU
rnacentral:rRNA from 1 species